GCUGGUGGCUAUAUCCGUAAGGUCACACCCGUUCCCAUUCCGAACACGGUCGUUAAGCUUGCGGAGCCGAUGAUACUGCUUCAGCGGGAAAGUAGGUCACUGCCAGCC
rnacentral:rRNA from 1 species